GGGGUUGUAGCUCAGUGGUAGAGUGCAUGUUUCUCAUGUAUGAGAUCCCGGGUUCAAUCCCCAGCAUCUCCA